AGAUUUGACUGGGAAGUAUCGAAGAACCCUUAUAAAAUGCAUCUGCUAAACUUAUUUUCACACAGUUUAUCCUUCAAUUCAAUCAAGUAUGGUUGGUCACACUUCUUAAGGAAAUUUAUUUCAUUCCGUGGCUUGAACCAAUCAGAUUCACAUGCCUGAGAUGAACCCCUGCUCCUGGCAGCUCAGAAAUCAUUCAGGAAUGCAGACUUAUAAGUAA